GACGAGCCACCCGAACGUUAUUCGGAAUUACUGGGCUUAAAGGGUGCGUAGGCGGUGUAGCAAGUCGGGAGUGAAAUACCCCAGCUUAACUGAGGAAUUGCUUUCGAUACUGCUGCGCUUGAGUGAGACAGAGGUAAGCGGAACUUAGGGUGGAGCGGUGAAAUGCGUUGAUAUCCUAAGGAACACCGGUGGCGAAGGCGGCUUACUGGGGUCUCAACUGACGCUGAGGCACGAAAGCUAGGGUAGCAAACGGGG
rnacentral:rRNA from 1 species